rnacentral:misc_RNA from 1 species
GCAAACUUGGUCAUUUAGAGGAAGUAAAAGUCGUAACAAGGUUUCCGUAGGUGAACCUGCGGAAGGAUCAUUAAAGAAUAAACUUGGUCAAGCUGAUGCUGGUUCUUCGGGACAUGUGCACGCUUGCCACCAACUUUAUCAACCACCUGUGCACCUUUUGUAGACCAGAAACUCUUAUCGAGGCAACUCGGAUUGAGGAUUGCUGGGCGAAAGCCGGCUCUCCUUGUGUUUCUUGGUCUAUGUCUUUACAACACUCCGAAUGUAUGUAUAUGAAUGACUAGCUAGGCCAAUGUGCCUCUAAAAUCUAAUACAACUUUCAACAACGGAUCUCUUGGCUCUCGCAUCGAUGAAGAACGCAGC